GGAAAGAGCUGAGGACAUGGAGCCCAUGGCGGCCAUCAUGGCAUCCAUAACGGAGCGCUGUAGAGCUAGGGAUUGGGCAUUGUCAGGUACUGACAUAGGGUCACCUGCGGAGGAAGGGGGCCAGAGCUGGCAGGGGAGUUAACCAAAGCAUGGGGUAUAUCCAUUUCCCCAGGGGGAAGGGGGGUGGCAGGCACUUUGGACUUGGGCAUAAUAAAAUUGCUGUGAGAUAUCCCAAUGACACCAAAUAUAAAAUAGUAAUAUAUGCUGCAGGGAGUUGAAAGCUAAAACGAAAAUGACAGGGAGAGAACAAGCUAGCAGGAGUAAUCACCCCAGACUAGCUAUACCUUAUUAGAGGGUAAAGAUAGGGAGCUCACCAGGGCCCAAACUGUCAAACAGGAAGAGGACAAUGGAGGCACAGACAGCCUGAGAAAGAUAAGGCAAACAGAGAAAAAAGAUAAGAGCAACAGGGGAAGCUCAAGUGAUAGGGAUACUGAUAAUAAUACCCUAAAGAGGUCUGGAACCAUGGGCUCAAAGGAUUACACAAUAUAAAAAUCAACAAUAGGAUAAAA